GGGGCAGUUUUAGAUUCGAUUGCUCAUGGAUAGUGACGUAAGCAUACCAAAGGCUCGGCUUUGUAAAAACGGAAAUUAAACUUAAAUGCAGAUAACACUAGUUACGCAUUCGCUGCCUAAGUGCGGCUGUCAAAUUACUAAACCCUAUCGUUAGUUAUUUGGCAUCAGUUUAGGAUAGGUCCUACCACUAUAUUUUAUCGGCGUAUAAGGGUAGUAUUUAGUCGAUAUGCUAUUAUUUAAUCUUGUUCUUUAGAGUAAAUAAUUUAAGACAAAAAAAGAAAUAAGUAUGUAGAAAACGCACGUGAAGUGUGUAAGACCCGAGUGCAAGUCUCGGCUGCUCCACCA
rnacentral:tmRNA from 1 species